AUUAUUAAUUUCACUCAGAGCCAGAGAUAAGACGUAGGGGGUAAUCGAGAAAAAUAAUAUCUUCAUUUUUUUGUUUUGGAAUUUUAUUAUGUAGUAAUUACUGUAAUACUGUAAUUACUGUAGUAGUGAGAAUAUUAGUAUCGUUUAAUUGAUUAGAUAUUCAUCAUGGGACAAAAUAUAAUGGGCAAAAAGAAUUGUUCAAAUCGACAAUUUUUUAAUUACGUCCCUCCGUCAAUUUUUGUUAGCGCUAACUCUGAUUUUACAUUAACUCAAUAAAAUACCUAGUCUAGUUGAUUUAAUACGCUUAAAAUAUAGAGUAUAACACAUAAUUUAAUUACUAACA